rnacentral:lncRNA from 1 species
UCAAAAUCCCCAUUUUCCCCCAAAAUCCCCAUUUUCCAUUAUAAAAAUCCCCAUUUUCCCCAAAAAUCCCCAUUUUUCAUUCUCAAAAAUCCCCAUUUUUGCCCCAAAUCCCCAUUUUUCCAUUACAAAAAUCCCCAUUUUCCCCCAAAAUGCACAUUUUUAUUUCUCACCCCCCCCAUUUUUACCCCAAAUCUCCAUUUUUUAAUCCUCAAAAAUCCCCAUUUUCACCCCAUAUCCCCAUUUUCCAUUAUAAAAAUCCCCAUUUUCCCCCCAAAUCCCCAUUUUUCAUUCUCAAAAUCCCCAUUUUUCCCCCAAAUCCCCAUUUUUCAUUCUGAAAAUCCCCAUUUUCCCCCAAAUCUCCAUUUUGUACUCUCAAAAAUCCCCAUUUUUCUCCAAAAUCUCCAGGUUUAUUUCCCAAAACUCGCAAUUUUUACCCCAGAUCUCCAUUUUUUCAUUCUCAAAAAUCCCCAUUCUUGCCUUAAAUCCCCAUUUUCCAUUAUAAAAAUCCCCAUUUUCCCCCAAAAUGCACAUUUUUAUUUCCCAAAAAUCCCCAUUUUCCCCCCAAAUCUCCAUUUUUCCUUUCUCAAAAAUCUCAUUUUUGCCACAAAUUCCCAUUUUUAUUUCUCAAAAUUCCCCAUUUUUGCCCCAAAUCCCCAUUUUUUCAUUCUCAAAAAUCCCCAUUUUCCCCCAAAUCCCCAUUUUCCAUUAUAAAAACCCCCCAUUUUCCCCCAAAAUCCCCAUUUUUCA